AGCGCAGACGGUUGAUUAAGUCUGAUGUGAAAGCCCGGAGCUCAACUCCGGAAUGGCAUUGGAAACUGGUUAACUUGAGUGCAGUAGAGGUAAGUGGAACUCCAUGUGUAGCGGUGGAAUGCGUAGAUAUAUGGAAGAACACCAGUGGCGAAGGCGGCUUACUGGACGGUAACUGACGUUGAGGCUCGAAAGUGUGGGUAGCAAACA
rnacentral:rRNA from 1 species